AUGAAUAUCGGCAUCUGCAAGCAAUAACCAACAUAUAAGGCAGUUUGGGGUCAGUUGGGAAUGCUGAUAUUACUCGUUUGUCCCCAUUUAUUAGGUGGAAAGCUGAUAAAUCUCAGGUUGCAGCCAUUACUCCCCUGGGAUACCUGAGUGGAUGCAACAUUUCUGCUACGCUUUCUGAAGUAUUGAUUGGGAAAACCAGCUCAGAUAUGGUGCUGUUUCCUAGCAGGUGAGAAUGCUGCUUUGCUAGACCAAAUGUCAAUUUGGUUCGAUUGGCUAAUAAACUGCUUUUCCACUUUAUGA
rnacentral:lncRNA from 1 species